rnacentral:rRNA from 1 species
UACGGGGGGGGUAAGCGUUGUUCGGAAUUACUGGGCGUAAAGGGCUCGUAGGCGGCCAACUAAGUCGGACGUGAAAUCCCUCAGCUUAACUGGGGAACUGCGUCCGAUACUGGCAGGCUUGAAUCCGGGAGAGGGAUGUGGAAUUCCUGGUGUAGCGGUGAAAUGCGCAGAUAUCAGGAGGAACACCGGUGGCGAAGGCGGGUCUCUGGGCCGUAACUGACGCUGGAGGAGCGAAAGCAUGGGGAGCGAACAGG